UACGGGGGGAGCAAGCGUUGUUCGGAAUUACUGGGCGUAAAGGGCGCGUAGGCGGCUCGACAAGUCCCGCGUGAAAGCCCCCGGCUCAACUGGGGAACUGCGCGGGAAACUGUCGGACUUGAGUUCGGGAGAGGGAAGCGGAAUUCCGGGUGUAGCGGUGAAAUGCGUAGAUAUCCGGAGGAACACCGGUGGCGAAGGCGGCUUCCUGGACCGACACUGACGCUGAGGAGCGAAAGUGUGGGGAGCGAACAGG
rnacentral:rRNA from 1 species